UAGUUGGUGGAGUGAUUUGUCUGGUUAAUUCCGAUAACGAACGAGACCUUAACCUGCUAAAUAGCCAGGUCGGCUUUUGCUGAUCGCCGGCUUCUUAGAGGGACUGUCAGUGUCUAACUGACGGAAGUUUGAGGCAAUAACAGG
rnacentral:rRNA from 1 species